GACGAACGCUGGCGGCGUGCUUAACACAUGCAAGUCGAACGGAAAGGCCCUGCUUUUGUGGGGUGCUCGAGUGGCGAACGGGUGAGUAACACGUGAGUAACCUGCCCUUGACUUUGGGAUAACUUCAGGAAACUGGGGCUAAUACCGGAUAGGAGCUCCUGCUGCAUGGUGGGGGUUGGAAAGUUUCGGCGGUUGGGGAUGGACUCGCGGCUUAUCAGCUUGUUGGUGGGGUAGUGGCUUACCAAGGCUUUGACGGGUAGCCGGCCUGAGAGGGUGACCGGCAACAUUGGGACUGAGAUACGGCCCAGACUCCUACGGGAGGCAGCAGUGGGGAAUAUUGCACAAUGGGCGGAAGCCUGAUGUAGCAACGCCGCGUGCGGGAUGACGGCCUUCGGGUUGUAAACCGCGUUCGCCUGUGACGAAGCGUGAGUGACGGUAAUGGGUAAAGAAGCACCGGCUAACUACGUG
rnacentral:rRNA from 1 species